rnacentral:tRNA from 1 species
ACUUAUGUAGCUAAAUUUAUAGCAUGGUAUUGAAGAUACCAAGUUGAUUAUUAAUCUUUAAGUA